rnacentral:lncRNA from 1 species
CAUGACCAACUGGAUGAAAAUGGCUCCCAGUCGGACGUGACUGGGCUCCCAGUCAUACAGUUACUGGGCUUCCAGUCAUACAGUUACUGGGCUUCCAGUCAGAGGUUCCUGGGCUCCCAGUCGGACGUGACUGGGCUCCCAGUCAUACAGUUACUGGGCUUCCAGUCAGAGGUUCCUGGGCUUCCAGUCAGAGGUUACUGGGCUCCCAGUCGGACGUUACCGGGCUCCCAGUCGGACGUUACCGGGCUCCCAGUCGGACGUUACCGGGCUCCCAGUCGGACGUUACCGGGCUCCCAGUCGGACGGUUACCGGGCUCCCAGUCAGAGGUUACCGGGCUCCCAGUCGGAGGUUACCGGGCUCCCAGUCGGAGGUUACCGGGCUCCCAGUCGGACGUUACCGGGCUCCCAGUCGGACGUUACUGGGCUCCCAGUCAGAUGUGACUGGUUGGUUAUCCUGCUGAGGUGUAUUUUACUUUUCUCUGCAUUGUUCAGUAGAUUAUAAUAACUAGACCUGAACAUUAAAGGAAUAAAGGUUGAAUUAAAGGUUAUAUCAGCGUAUACUUGGAGAAUCCAAACGUUAGCGUGUGCAGUUUAGUGUGCAUGGUCAAGUGUGGUUUCAUGACCUUGUUGAGAACAUGCUGUCUGUUUGCUUCCACCCACAAGAGUCCUGCUCACAUUUAUAUUCACACCAGUUUCCUGAGCACCGCCUGAUGGAAUUCACCCAGAUUUCAGCAGGAGGAUGAAGGAGAAACUCAGACGUGUCCUCACAUGACAUCUCGUUUGAAAAGUUCAGGCAAAAACUGAAAACUAGCAGCUUCAGAAUCACCUUGGGUGCCUUUAAACAUGAAUGAAAUGAUAUGCAAUAAACUGUCUCGCCCUCUUUGCUGUCUCGCUGUUACUGAACGUCUCUCGUCCUGAUGUGUAACUCUGGUUAAUUAGAGAUCAUUAGAGAUCUUUGACAGGGUGAGCUGGAAGAACCUGGAGCUCCAGCUCUGCUUCCUCAUUAACGUUGGUGAUUGUGAAGCUCGUCACACACCAAACGGAGGUGUUGCGUCCAGCCGAAGCAUCAGCACUCAAACAGCUUCUACCUGAAUGAGCGUUUAAUAGCUCCGCCUCCAUCGCUGACCUGAGAACCCGGACUCCUGCCGUUAGGGCUAGGGCUAGGGCUAGGGUUAGGGGUAGGGUUAGGGUUAGGGCUAGGGUUAGGGCUAGGGUUAGAGGGCUAGGGUUAGGGUUAGAGGGCUAGGGUUAGGGUUAGAGGGCUAGGGUUAGGGUUAGGGGGCUAGGGUUAGGGCUAGGGUUAGAGGGCUAGGGUUAGGGGGCUAGGGUUAGGGCUAGAGCUAGGGUUAGGGUUAGGGGGCUAGGGUUAGGGCUAGGGUUAGAGGGCUAGGGUUAGGGUUAGGGGGCUAGGGUUAGGGCUAGGGUUAGAGGGCUAGGGUUAGGGGGCUAGGGUUAGGGGGCUAGGGUUAGGGCUAGGGUUAGAGGGCUAGGGUUAGGGUUAGAGGGCUAGGGUUAGAGGGUUAGGGUUAGAGGGCUAGGGUUAGAGGGCUAGGGUUAGGGUUAGAGGGCUAGGGUUAGGGUUAGGGGGCUAGGGUUAGGGGGCUAGGGUUAGAGGGCUAGGGCUAGGGCUAGGGUUAGGGUUAGAGGGCUAGGGUUAGGGUUAGGGGGCUAGGGUUAGGGGGCUAGGGUUAGAGGGCUAGGGUUAGGGUUAGGGGGCUAGGGUUAGAGGGUUAGGGUUAGAGGGCUAGGGUUAGGGCUAGGGUUAGAGGGCUAGGGUUAGGGCUAGGGCUAGAGGGCUAGGGUUAGGGUUAGGCACCAGGAUUCACUCAUCCGAAAAUGGGUAGAAUGAUAGUA